GACGAACGCUGGCGGCGUGCUUAACACAUGCAAGUCGAACGGUGAAGCGCCUUCCUUUUUGGUGGGUGUGGAUGAGUGGCGAACGGGUGAGUAACACGUGAGUAACCUGCCCCCUUCUUCUGGAUAACCGCAUGAAAGUGUGGCUAAUACGGGAUAUUCUGGGUCUGUCGCAUGAUGGGUCUGGGAAAGAUAUUGUUUCGGUGGGGGAUGGGCUCGCGGCCUAUCAGCUUGUUGGUGGGGUGAUGGCCUACCAAGGCGGUGACGGGUAGCCGGCCUGGGAGGGUGGACGGUCACACUGGGACUGAGACACGGCGCAGACUCCUACGGGAGGCAGCAGUGGGGAAUAUUGCACAAUGGGCGCAAGCCUGAUGCAGCGACGCCGCGUGAGGGAUGGAGGCCUUCGGGUUGUGAACCUCUUUCGCCAGUGAAGCAGGCCUGCCUCGUUUGUGGGUGGGUUGACGGUAGCUGGAUAAGAAGCGCCGGCUAACUACGUG
rnacentral:rRNA from 1 species